ensembl:lncRNA
AUGCAAUCGUCAACUCCCACCGGCCCUGGAAGGUCAACUCAAAAACAACCCCACAACUGGGUUAGAGCAAGAUUUUUUAAUGACUCCAAAAUAAUAAGACAAGGCUCAGUCCAGAAGCAGUCAGAGGGGCCAGCAUCCUUGGAAGUGCCUAUUUACAGACAGAGCUGUAAUUUGGGCUGUGAGGCCGGUUGUCCCAGCUUCCCACAGCUUCACCCAUCGCCCGGCUGUUGGUGCCAGCUGGGAGCUCAUUUAGCUUCAGCUCCUCAGUCUUGCCCGAAUCUGAGGCUCUUCUCCAGAAGGGCUCUUGGAAGGCCUGUGCAUGCACAUAAUGAUGUCACCCUCCUGACUUUCCUCCCUCACACCACUGCCACACUCGAGGUCCAGGCAGGGACACCGUGGGUGCCCUGAGGAUGCUCCCCCUACAAGGCACAUUCCCAUGUCCUUAUGCUGCUGCAAAAAUGGGGCUGAAAACUGUCAGUUCAGAACUCAAUUCAUAAACGCCUUCAGGAAUCAGUGGAGACCUCAAGCCCCACCACAAGGAAGGUGACCCCAAGAACUGUGGGGUUUUGCAUGCCGUGUCCACAACCACAGUACUUAGGAAUGCUCCAGGAAUGACACAGGCUGGGGCAGUAAGGAUGUUAAUGAGGAUACUUAAUUAGUCUCAAUUGAGGCAUGAAGUAUGCAGCUGCACACAGCCAAUAGCAUGAAGGGAUAUGGAAAGGCAUGGAAUAACCAUGAUCCUGGCUCAUGCCACAUGCUGCAGGUUGGGCACAGUGCUGCAUGAGCUCCUGGCCACGAUGGGUUUGGAGCGGUGGGUGGACACUCCUCAUCCAGCCAACACCACGCAGCCAAAGCAGUCACACAUUUCCCUGAUAGUGCCCCGUGGCACUGGACAAGCUCCUGAACAUCCCUACUCCAUCCAUCUGCACCAGGCAAACAUGGCUCUGCGACACGUAAAGCCUCCGGCCCCACAGGUGAGGCAGUUUCCUUGGCACAACGUGUCUCUGCAGCAGCUACCUGACAUUACCAAUGUGCACGUCCCUGCUCCUCUGGUGCAGGAGCUUAUCCUGCAGUAACAUAUUUUCCAGCCAUAUCCACUGUCCCUCACUGCACCAACCUGAGGGAGAGGAGAAAAAUUCGUUUCCCAGUGCUCACACCUGCACAAGGACCAUCUGCCAGGCCAUUCAGCACUUGCCAUGGGAAUUUUUGCCAGGAAAAGCUAUUGCAAGAAUAAGUCCCAACUUGAGACCCAUCUGGGCUCCAGGGAGGGGGAGGAGAGGGGGGUGGGGCAGCACAAGGGACCGAGAGGGAAGAUCCAGGCAGGAAUUGAGCCUGGAGACUCAGGAGCUGUUUGGGAGGACGGCUCUGACCGGCACAACCUGUUACUGACCAUCUCUCUUCCAGCACAUGCUAAACCUGACAGAUCCUGCAGCUUCUGCAGGGUUGCAGGGAACCACCUGGAACCUCCACACGGGGAGGUUUGGAUCAACACUAAUUAUAUGUGCUAGAAUUGAAGCAUCACCUCUACUCUUCCUCUCAGCCCUUCCUUCUCCUCCCAGCAUGAGGAGCAGCCGUCCCCGCUCUCACCGCCCUGCCUGCAGGACUCGGCUGCCUCCAGCUCCCAAUUCCGUCGUUUUCCAGCUACUCUCUGUCCAGCAUCCCACUGGCACCCUGCCUUCGCCUGGCCCAGCCUCUGACUCCUUCUGAGCCCCCAGGAGAGAGUGAGAAUGGCCAUUUCUCUUAUUUUCAACUCUUGCUCAUGAGUACAACAUUUCUGAUAAUAAUAAUCAUAAUAAUCAUAGUACUAAAAACAGUAUUUACAACAAGCUCCAGGUCAGAAUUACACACCAAGCAAACACUCAGCACCACAGAGAGUAGGACAGGGUUAAUAUCUCGCAGAUACCUUCUCAGAUCCCACCAACGCGGGACACAGACAUUUGACGGUUUCAACCAUUUCUUACACACAAACAUUUCAUUUAAAGUACUUUUUAAAUUUUUUUUUUAAACUUUUUAAAAUUUCUCGUCACUAUAUGGGUGAGGUGAUGCUGACGGUGAUGCCGCGCUCUACACAGAUGCUUAUCUAAGACAGCUGCUACUAUUAACUGAUCAUUAGCUACUGUUAAGAAAUUCAACCCUCAGUUUCCUUCUUUGCCCUAAAUCUAAUUUUCUUUUGUCACUGACAGCACAGGAGCUUUUUAACAGCCCUGUCCUCCCCGCAGCCCAGGAGGAGGGGUUUGGGAGUAAGGUAGCCCUUCCUUUUAGGAGCAGAGUCCCCUGACAUCAAGCCAUGGCCAUGGAAGGAUCCCUCCCACAUCCAGCUGGGAAUUCUGUGGAGAUCAACAAAGAGCCCUGGGAUUUGGUCUCCAGCAAUCUGCCCUGUGAUGGCCCCAAAGAGCCACAUCCAUCUCUGGAAAGAGGGAAGGAUUAUUCUGUUCACUAAAAGGCUGUUUCACAACCACGCCCCGUCUCUGUUGGAUUUGCUUUCCUAACCGAGUGGAAUCCUGUGUUGUGGGAGCACUGAGGAGCCCACAGAGGAUGAGGGUCCUCUCCCA